CCUUCCAUAGUGUAGUUGGUUCAUCACGUUCGACUGUAAAUCGAAAGGUCACCGGCUCGACUCCGGUUGGAAGGA
rnacentral:tRNA from 3 species